rnacentral:rRNA from 1 species
GGCUCUUUGUAGUAUAAAAAUAAAGAGUCCGGCCUGCUCAAUGAUGAUUUAUCAUUAAAUAGCUGCGGAAUCCUAACCGUGUGAAAGUAGCAUAAUCAUUUGCCUCUUAAUUGGUGGCUGGAAUGAAUGGUACGAUGAAAAUAGAGCUGUCUCUAAUAUGUUUUAUUGAAAUUACCUUUUAGGUGAAAAGGCCUAAAUACAUCUAUAAGACAAGAAGACCCUAUCGAGCUUUAAGUAAGCUGUAUAUAAAAUUUAGUUGACUUUUGGUUGGGGUAACCAGGGGGUAGAUUAAAUCCCUCUUUUAUUGUAUCACUUACUAGUGAAGAUCCAGUUAUAUUGAUCAUGGGA